rnacentral:lncRNA from 1 species
AGCCUACUGUUCCCAGCUGUGGAGGAGAAGGAAGAUUCGUCAAGGCCAGAGGAGCUGUUCUUUGGAGGAGUGUCUACAGGUAGUUUGUGAAGCAAGGCAUGUUUUAUUCUUGGUGCUGUCGUUCACAGGGUGGCUUCAGUGGAAUUAAAGCCAACAGCGUUGACUGUGAAACCAUCUACAGGGUGUGUGGCUGCUACAGGCUAGAGCAGCACAGAAAUUAUCACGUUCUUCAGGGUGUAAAAGUCAGUGGUCCUUAAAGGCGACAUUCUUAUGAAGACAAACUAAAGAUGCAGCUCCUUUAACAAUCAUUUCUGCUGGUAAGGGAAUUUUAAAAGGACAUCGCUGUACUUCCUUGAUGGCUUUUAAAAAUAUCAGUGAUGCUUUGGGGGAUGCCACUUCCCACCAGCCAAAUUUAAACUAAGCAAAGAAUCUAUGGGUAUAAGAUUACUGUCCUGGGUGGAGGGGCCCCUACACAGACUAUAAAACAUAGUUUGACAGCAAAAGAAACUUGUGGAGACUUUAGUCUUCAUGGGCAUUUAUAUUUUAAAUGUAUAAAAUAUAUAUGAGUACAAAAAAAUUAUAUCUUCUUUCUAAGCUCUCUAAUCUCAUUCUUUCUAAAUGCAGAAUAGAUUUGGAUCAAGUCGUCAAAGCAAACACAAACCAACCCUUUCAUCCAGCAGGCAGAAUAAUUGAAUUUGCUUUAUUGGUUCCGCAGCCUAGCACCUGACUUAUUAAUCUUCGAGCUUUCUUGUUGUUUUCAGUUGGGAUUUCAAACAACAGAUGCCGUUCAGACCGUUUUAAAAUAAUCUUCUGUUUUCAGUUAGGAACCAUAAAAGGCGUUUCAUCCAAGUAAGCCUUGAAGAGGCAGGUCAAGUGACCCAUCAGAUAAAAGGGACAUUUAAUACUCAUGUAAAUCAUUUGCAUUACAAAGAAGACACUUUCGCAGGGGUUGGACACACACACACACACACACACACACACACACACACACAUUUCCCCCCGGAGUUGGGAUUAAGUUCCCAUAUUAAUGCAUGCAUUUGGUGUGGUUAUUUUGGGAGAAAGACUUCAUCCAUCAAUGCUCCCUGCCACUAAAUAGGGCCAACCUGUAACUGAUCACCCCAACCUGUCAGCACUGACUACCUAAUUACAUAAAGAAAAAAUACUUAAAAGCCUUUUCAGAACUCGGUUAGUAGCUCAACUUCAGCUUUAACAUGUGGCAUCUCUUGCAAAGUUCUUCACAAUAACGGCAACAAACACUUUUCAAGAUUAAAAAUGAAAAGUCUAAAUAUUGUUUUUUAUGUUCACCUCUAAGCCUGUGUACGUGUGUCUGUGUGUGUGCAAGUAUGCUUUUAUUUACAGAGGAGAAAUAAAAAAAAAAAAAAGAUUCAAAAAGCCCAAGUGAAACGGAUUUGAUUCAAAUAUUUGCAUUUUUGUAUUAGUUCCAAAGAAGCAAAACAUCAAAAACUUGGCUUGUCAAAAACUUGGCUCAUCAAAAACUUGGCUCAAGACUCAAAGGUAUUCCUCUCCUCUGCAGUCUUUAGUAAGGGGUGAAAGAUUUAUGUCAUCCCAAGGGAAACCAGAGUAUGAGGUAAUAGUUAUAAAAGAUGUUUCCACUAGAAGUUAAUGUAUUAAUGAGAAUGUACAUUUUCAUUAUUUUCAUAACCUCUAACACUAAUUUAAUUCCAUUACUAACCAGAAAUUUUAAAAUACUGAUCUUUUUAUAGAAAGGAGAAGUUUUUCUUCUAAUGAAGACUACUCUUUAAUUGUCUUUCGUUUUUAUUCUUAGUUAUUUUCUUAAAGGCUACAUAUUUUAAGAUUGUAUGCCGCAAAACUCAGGAGAGGUGCAACCUACCACUCAUAUUCAGAAAAAAUUUCUUUCCCAGCAAGAAAUUUCAAAGCUGGGCUCCCAAAGGACAAUCAAAGAAGAAUUCUUAUUUGUAUAUUUCAAAUGCCUUUCUGUGAAAAAGAAGAAAAACUACAAAUAAUAUCACAGAUUCUUAUUAUUUGAAAACUUGACCAAAUUUAUAAAGUGCUUGAAAAAACAUCCGAUGUUCCAAGCACUGCACACUGCAAACACAAGGUGGAAAUUUAGAGAAACAAAGUUAAAAAAAAAACAGCUUGAAAAUGCAGCCUUCUUACCGUGAGCAGUUAACAUCUUUCAUGUAAGCAUUUUAAGGACCUUUUGAAAUUGAAUAAUACAUUUUCCAUUUAAUCAUUGGAAUCAAUAUAACUUUAUAAACUUUUUCAGAUAUUUCUCAGUUAAUUAUAUAGUCUUCUGGUCUUUUCACACCCAUUUUUUAAAAUCUUUGUACCCCAGUAAUUCUACUGUUUUAUAGUCUUUUUUUAAAAAACAAUCAGACAACUGUUUAAAAAUAAAUACUAAAAUAAAUAUUAGAGACCAUAAGAAGAAUAUUUAUAGGUGUUCUUACCCUCUUUCUUAGUGGGUUCUGGCAUGACCACAACAAAAGAUUACUCUCCAAAAGGUUUUCUCCUUUCUAGCAGCGGUUGACAGAAACCCCAAGGGCAGCAGAGAGAUGGUGUGGGUCAGUGUGACAAGCAGCUGCUUAGAGGUGGACCGGUUUUAUACAGGCUCCGACCAUCAAUCAUGUUGGCGCCUCCCUACUUCGGCACAAGGAUGCUGAAACCUGACAGCUCUGGGACCUUUCUCACAUCUGUUGUCUGCGCUCCGCUCUCCCGCCUGCUGGAAGGACUCUCCUGUCCGUCUCGUGUGGCAGAUGCGAGCAUCUCUAACUUUCUAAAUUCAGCUGUGCCUCGUGCUCUUUCCUGUUCUCUGCCUGUUCCACAGAAGCGUGUGCCGACUCAGCAGUGCACGGAGUUUUCUGGGCGAUGAAAUAAAUAGAUGAAAAUC